rnacentral:SRP_RNA from 1 species
GCCGGGGAUGGUGGCGCGUGCCUGUAGUCCCAGCUACUCGGGAGGCUGAGGUGGGAGGAUUGCUUGAGCCCAGGAGUUCUGGGCUGUAGUGCGCUAUGCCAAUCGGGUGUCCGCUUCCGCACUAAGUUUGGCAUCAAUAUGGUGACCUCCCGGGAGCAGGGGACCACCAAGUUGCCUAAGGAGGGGUGAACCGGCCCAGGUCGGAACAGGAGCAGGUCAAAACUCCCGUGCUGAUCAGUAGUGGGAUCGUGCCUGUGAAUAGCCACUGCACUCCAGCCUGGGCAACAUAGCCAGACCCCGUGUCU